rnacentral:misc_RNA from 1 species
AAGUCGUAACAAGGUAACCGUAGGUGAACCUGCGGUUGGAUCAUUAAAAAAAAAUUGGUUCUUCCCUUAAAAACGGUUGAACGUCGGUGCUCCUUUAACAAGGAGCUUGACUACUCCAAUUUUUUGUGAACUUGUAAACUGAAAAAAAGAAAAUGUUUUUGAUCUAGUAGUGAAAAAAAUUUGGGUGAUUUAUUGCCCAAGUUUUUUUUCCUUCUCUUGAAGAAAUUAUUUUUUAUUAACUCUGAAGAAUUAAACCUGUCUUUACCGUUUUUUAUAAAUAAAAUAAUUAAUAAACAACUUUUGACAACGGAUCUCUAGGCUCUC